AUUAAUUAUUCUACAUGGACUUUAUUAUUUAUUCACUUUUGUUGGGCUGAAAAUUUAAUAAAAGCCCAUAGCAAUUUUAUCUUCACCCAUUCAUUUUCACUAUUCUUAAUUUGGGAUAGCAACGUGUUUCCUUCCGUUUAGCCACAAUUUGAUUUACUACUCAGCCACUUAUUUAUUUAACUUUGAAUAGCAUGUACUCUUAUUUAUUAAGUAACCAAAUUAUUAUAUAUCAAAGAUUUCAUAUUAUUUAUCUUCACUGUUCUUUUUUAAAAUUCCUUUUCAAAAUGAAAAUGUGCAAAAAAUCCCAUUUAUCCAACCACAACCGCCAUACUCCUCUUUAUCCCCAUUUAUCACCGCCAUACAUUUUUAUAUAUAUCAGAUUCAUUCACCUAUAGUAUAUUAUUUCAUCCUUUUCUACAUCUACAUCUCUAAUUUGCAAAACGUAAACUUAUCCAGCAAGAAAAUCAAGUUCUUUCCUUCCACUGUAGAGGUGCGGCGCGACUAGGACGUUACUUUUGAUUGAAUUUCUCAAAUUUAGCUUUCAAGUUGAAAUUCAAGUUCAAGUUCAAAAUUCAGGUGUGGGAUUUAUUUCAGUACAUGCCCGUGGUUAAUUCUUGUCCAUUUUAAUAUCAUGUGUUUACCAUAUGUGAGUUGCAUUAAAUUAUAUCGCUAGGGGCCCGCUCAAUGGGUCCAGGACUUCACCGUCCUUGGUAUGCCACAAUGCGAUUUCAUGUUAAAGUUAUGGUUGCAACCAGUCGCCAGGGGCCGGCUCAAUCGGUCCAGGACGGAAAGGUCCUUGGUAUGCCACCGUGCGACUUUCAGUCACGAAUGUAUUGAUCAUAUGUGAUUCUCAUUUUAUUAACGUGUGGGAUUUAUUUCAGUACAUGCCCGUGGUUAAUUCUUGUCCAUUUUAAUAUCAUGUGUUUACCAUAUGUGAGUUGCAUUAAAUUAUAUCGCUAGGGGCCCGCUCAAUGGGUCCAGGACUUCACCGUCCUUGGUAUGCCACAAUGCGAUUUCAUGUUAAAGUUAUGGUUGCAACCAGUCGCCAGGGGCCGGCUCAAUCGGUCCAGGACGGAAAGGUCCUUGGUAUGCCACCGUGCGACUUUCAGUCACGAAUGUAUUGAUCAUAUGUGAUUCUCAUUUUAUUAACGUGGACAAUGAUUGCAUGUU